UUCUCUAAGGAAUUUCUUCCUUUUGUGAUGUAGGCAUGGAAUCCCAGUGAGCAUCCUGCACUCAGUGUCCAACUGUCUGAAGCCACAGUUGUUUCUGAAGACAGAGAACAAUUGCUUUUUGCUGAGGAGACAGCACUCCACAGCUGAGAACAGCUCCAGUCUACAGCUCCCAGUGUGAGCGAUGCAGAAGACGGUUGAUUUCUGCAUUUCCAUCUGAGGUACCAGGUUCAUCUCACUAGGGAGUGCCAGACAGUGGGCGCAGGUCAGUGGGUGUGCGCACCGUGUGUAAGCGAAGCAGGGCGAGGCAUUGCCUCACUUGGGAAGUGCAAGGGGUCAGGGAGUUCCCUUUCCUAGUCAAAGAAAGGCAUGACAGAUGGCACCUGGAAAAUCGGGUCACUCCCACCCGAAUACUGCGCUUUUCCGACGGGCUUAAAAAAUGGCGCACCAGGAGAUUAUAUCCCGCACAUGGCUUGGAGGGUCCUACGCCCACAGAGUCUCAC
rnacentral:lncRNA from 1 species